CGUACCACAUCCAAGGAAGGCAGCAGGCGCGCAAAUUACCCACUCCCGGCACGGGGAGGUAGUGACGAAAAAUAACGAUACGGGACUCAUAUGAGGCCCCGUAAUCGGAAUGAGUACACUUUAAAUCCUUUAACGAGGAUCCAUUGGAGGGCAAGUCUGGUGCCAGCCGCCGCGGUAAUUCCAGCUCCAAUAGCGUAUAUUAAAGUUGUUGCGGUUAAAAAGCUCGUAGUUGAAUUUGUGUGCUACGCUGUCGGUUCACCGCUCGCGGUGUUUAACUGAUACGCUCGUGGCACGUCCUACCGGUGGACUUAGCUUCCCCCCUCGUGGGUGUGGAGCGGUCCUACUUUAAUCCCAUCGCGGUGCUCUUAAACGAGUGUCGAGGUGGGCCGGUACGUUUACUUUGAACAAAUUAGAGUGCUUAAAGCAGGCUAUAUUUGCCUGAAUAUUGUGUGCAUGGAAUAAUGGAAUAGGACCUCGGUUCUAUUUUGUUGGUUUUCGGAACACCGAGGUAAUGAUUAAUAGGGACAGAUGGGGGCAUUCGUAUUGCGACGUUAGAGGUGAAAUUCUUGGA
rnacentral:rRNA from 1 species